GAUGAACGCUGGCGGCGUGCCUAAUACAUGCAAGUCGAGCGAACAGAUGAGGAGCUUGCUCCUCUGACGUUAGCGGCGGACGGGUGAGUAACACGUGGAUAACCUACCUAUAAGACUGGGAUAACUUCGGGAAACCGGAGCUAAUACCGGAUAAUAUAUUGAACCGCAUGGUUCAAUAGUGAAAGACGGUUUUGCUGUCACUUAUAGAUGGAUCCGCGCCGCAUUAGCUAGUUGGUAAGGUAACGGCUUACCAAGGCAACGAUGCGUAGCCGACCUGAGAGGGUGAUCGGCCACACUGGAACUGAGACACGGUCCAGACUCCUACGGGAGGCAGCAGUAGGAAAUCUUCCGCAAUGGGCGAAAGCCUGACGGAGCAACGCCGCGUGAGUGAUGAAGGUCUUCGGAUCGUAAAACUCUGUUAUUAGGGAAGAACAAAUGUGUAAGUAACUAUGCACGUCUUGACGGUACCUAAUCAGAAAGCCACGGCUAACUACGUG
rnacentral:rRNA from 1 species